rnacentral:rRNA from 1 species
UUGACUGUGCUAAGGUAGCAUAAUAAAUUGGCUUUUAAUUGAAGUCGGGAAUGAAAGGAUGUUUGGAGUUAUUCUGUCUUAUUUUUAUUUUUUAAAAAUUACUAAUGAGGUGAAAAUUCCUCAAUGUUUUUUGAUAGACGAGAAGACCCUAAGAAUUAUUACAACUAUUAAAUUGAUUUAAUAAAAGUUUUUGUUGGGGCAACAGCUUUGAGUAACCAAAGUUAAAAUUUAUUAUAAAAAGAUUAUAUUAAAAACAGAUUUAAUUACCUUAGGGAUAACAGCAUAAUUAAAUUUUAGAUUGUGACCUCGAUGUUGGAUUAAGGCCU